UAGAUUUUUGUAUACACUAAAAGACUGGAAUAAGCGGCAAAGCUAGCCAAGUUGAUGACCAAUUCACUCGGCCAUAGUAAAGCUAAACACGCUUUCUGCUUGUCAAUAAAUUGAUUAACCUUGACCUCACACUUGCAUCUAGGUUAACCUUACCAUUUGAACAAGUCUACCAACCAUUAACCAUGUUUAAGUGAUUCUUUGUAGUGUAACUGUGGUUAAUCAGCAUUCUGGCGAUGAUGUUAAAUAAAAUGUGUCUUUUUUUCCUUUGAGAGUCUGGUAUUCUAGUUAAUUUGGACUGGAUUUUAGAUUGGGCUAAAUUUUACGUUAUUGGAGGAAAACUUGCAAAGAUCCAAUAUGUCAAUUGAUUGUUCUGGAUGAACAAGUGUAUAUUUAACUUGGUGAUCUUGUUUUGCUCAAAAAUGAGGAAAAAACUGCUGAAAUCCUAGUAAUAACUUGGUGACCAGACUGUGAACAUUGAAUCAAAUCAAUUUAUUGGCUUAAAGUUUAAUGAUAAACUAAAGUUACCAUUGGUUACCUUUUUGGACUUUGGGCAAGGUCCAGUGAUUUAACUGACCAGAAAAAAACAACAACAUAGCAUUGAGCUUUUUUCCUUUGUGUACAAAAGGAAUGAUAAAUAAUUAGCUUUGAAUAAAUUUAAUGGAUGACUGAUUGUGAACAGGGGAGCAAAGUGAAUCUCACCAUUGAAUCAAUGAACACAAAAAUCAAGGCAAUCCUUUCAAGAUAAGCAUCGCAAAAAUAUCCAAGCCAACGAUUUUGUUUUACCCAAUACAACAAAUCUUCACCUGAUCUUGCCUCAACUCCAACAAAGACUCAAAUGCUCAAAGUCAGAAUUUUUGAUUAAUUGGUUUAAAUGUCAGGCUUUAAAUAACAUUGAAAUAGAAAACCUUUUCUAUUAGAUAAUUAAAAAAAAUUUGAAUGACAACCUGAUUAGGAUCCAUACAGAGAUAAAUUUACAGUGAAAGCUUGCUAAUAAUAUGUAAUGAAAUAUUGAAAAUGAAAAAUAUAUCUCAUUAUGUAUUAUUAGACAAUCCUUUUUAUUGUUGAGAUUUGAUUAAACAUACAAAACAAGAUUUACAAUAUGGUAAAUAUGCAAACAUGUAUAUUAUUAAAUAAUAAUAGAGCAUUGUGAUAGAUAUGGAAAGAAAGAGAAGAAGGAUGAAAAAAGGAUGAGGAAGAAUAAGAUGGAUGAUCAAGUAAAAUGUUGAAAGGUAUAGAGUAAAGGUAACAAAGGUAUUAAACCUUCAUCUAUUUAUAAAUAUUAAUAAAUUACAUUUACAAUGUUUAUGAAUUUAUUAAACAGGUAAAUUGUUGAUGUGGUUGAUUCACCAAAUUGUAACCAAAUUAAUAUAUUAACCAUUAAUAUCAUUAUAAGAUGUAAAUGAUUAUUGAUGAAAGCUUUGGGUGAGUGUAAAAAACCCUCAACAAAUCUCAUUUGAGUUUUAAUUUUCUUUCUUGCUGUACUUCACUUCAAUUUAUCAAUCAAAUUGAAACAUAUUUUUUUAAUUAUGAUAGAUUCCUGUGAAACUUGCAAUUUAAUGGAACCCAAGCUUAAUGAGUAAUUUAACCUGAUUAAUUAAUGUUCAUUGUUAAUUGAAAAUGAUCAAAUGACACUUAAACUGUUUAACAGUAACAAAUGAACCAUCUUUUGAUAAACUUACAAAUAAUAGAGAGAAACAUAUUGAAUGGAUGAGAAGCCAGGAAAAGAUGGACAAAAGGACAAGCAUACAAAUGGCCGGCGAGACAAAAGGACAAGAAUAACCAGGAAAAGAUCAAUUUGCAAUUUGUCAAGACACCCAAUCAACCAGGAUGAUACAUGAUGAAAAGCUGACCAAAACAUAAUUCAAUGGAAUCUCAGCAUUUCUUGUAUCAACAGUAAUGUCAAGUGUUGCACCAUUGCAACUACUGAACUUACCUAAUGAUACAAAUUGAUAUCUGCCUUUGAACCCGUUUCUGUCACUCAAGUUACCCAUAUUGGUACCUUGAACCGACAACCUUUAAAAUCAAAUGGAACCGUAAUUUGACCAUUUCGUCCAUUUCACCAAUCAAUUAGACAAUAUUAUUCUAAAUUAAUAUGAUACACUAUUAAUUAUACUCAACUGAUUAAUGUUGCUUCGUUUCACCCAAACUAAACUGUUAAUCUGUUAAGUGUAAUGAUAUCAAGUGAUAGUCACGUAAAGUGAAUUGUGAUUUGGGGGAAAAAAAGGCAAGAAACACAAGAAAAAAAAGCAGCUUGAACAGAUAAACUUUGAUUCUGAUUCAUAUUCCAACAUGGAACUGGUUUUCUUUUUAUUUUUCCUGUUUUUUUAUUUCUCUCUCAUCCCUUUCCUUCCUGAUUUUUUUCCCUCCUCUCUUCUUUCUCCAUCUCUUUCUCAUCACCAACAUCUCAUCUUUUCAAGAUUUUCUUGCUCUAAACAGUUGAGAACAGCAAGAAAGCAAGAAAAAAAAUAAUGAUAAACUAUUGAAGCAAAUAGUUUCAUCGGAAGUGAACAUUAUCCUAUUCAACUAUUAUUACCAUUCACAUUCCCUAUUAUCAAUGCUAAAUAGUGAAAGUCUUUAGAUGUAUAAAAAAAGGGCAAGAAUAGCUCUUGAUUAUAUUUUAUAUAUUACAAUUUCCGGGUCAUUUUACAUGGUUCAAUAUCACUUUAUCCAUUUGAUAUCCAACACUUGGCCAGAAACACAACAAUUUAUCAACAGAAACACACAAGUCUCUAUCAUUAUAUUAUCACAGCCAUCAUUUGAUAAAACAGUAAUAAUAUGAUCAAGUUGGAAAAAAAGGCUUCCACAGAAAAGGAGAGAAAAGGAUGAAAUAUAAUCAAAAAUUAUCAUUUCAUUCAAUUUAAAGUUCAUUUUUCUUUCCAAUGUUUCUCAUUAUCAUCAUUAUUACUCAGUUUUACACACAAAACUGAACCUUUUGUAAAGCUAAACAAUAUUUGUUAAAGUGAAAUCACACAAUCCAAGAGCAAAAAAGGAGUGAAAAGUUAAAGAAAACCUGGAAUCACUAUCAUCAUCAUUGAAUGGUCAAACAACGGAAGAGAAACAAGAUGAAAUAUAAAAUGAAAUAAUGAUGAAAACUAUUCAAGUGGAAUUGUUUAGCUUUUCAUGAACAAGAAAAAAAGAAGGCGAUGAAAAUGGCGAUUCCAAUUUCUUGGUAUUUCUCUUUAUCUUACUUUACAAUCAUCAUGACUAGCAGCACCAUAAUCAUCUCAAUCAUCUUCAUUUUUUGUCAUUUCUCAUUAUCACCAUCUUCCAUCUCAUCUUUGCCAUACUUGUCCAUUGCAAUUGCUCUACCAAUUGGUCAACGGAUUUUCUUAUUAAAUCUGGUUAUCCAUUGCUCCUUAGCAUUCCCAUCAUCAGCAUCUUCAUCAUCUUCAUGAUUCUCUAUUAUAUUUCUUGCUUUCAAUUGGCAGUCAAAAAAAAGAGGAAAUUCUCAAUCAAUAACUUUCUCUUUCCCAUCAUCUAAGCCUGCAAAAUCUUACCGAUCGUCACAACCGAACUUUUUUGCUUCUCUCUUUUCCUCAUCAUUUCUAUCAUUUUCAUCUUCUUGCCAUUCUCUAACCAUUUUCAUCAUCAUCAACUUCCCUCUUCGUGAUGUUCGUAAAAAUCUUCGCACUGAUCGAUAUACAAGAUAAGAUCGAUAAGUUGUGAGUCUUUUUAUCUACUUUUUCAUCAUCAUCACCAUCAUCUUUCCUUGUUACUCUUUUACUCUUAUCAUCUCUCUAACAGAAUCUUUUAUCAUCUUAAUCAUCAUAGCUUACAAGGUAAAAAUAUCCUUUUAUCCAAAUUCCUGAUUCCCUGUAAACUUUUUCCUCAAUCCAACCAAUAAUUCAAUUGGAAAGUUACUUGCAAGCCAAAUUGAAUUAAUUGAUUAUAAUUUUGUUAUCCAAAAUCAUCAAAUGUUUCAAUAUCAAUGGUAAUGUUGAACCUGAUCAAUUCAAGUCUAUUCACCAAAGAAACCUGGAAAACCUUAACAAGAACAAAACCCUUUUCUCUAAUGAUAGAGACAGAAAAAAAUGUCUUCAUUCUAAUUUCGAUUCUUUUUCAUCAUUUUUUUGUCACGAUUCUGUUUGAAAAAAAACUCUAAUCAUCAGGAACAUCAUCAUAUUUAUCAUGAAAGCAACAUUGCAACUCCAGUUAUCAAUAUCAAAAGCUAUUUUUCCAUCCAUAUAAUGAUAUUUACUCCAAUUAACCAGAAACUUGUUCUCAUCCUCGCUCUUCAUCCUCGUCUUCUCCAUCUUUAACAUCUUAAAUAACCUCUCGACCUUAUACUUUAUUCCUCUUUUUGUCCCUUUUCACUCCCAAUCCUUGCUCACAAUUUAACUAGUCAAUGUGUGUGUGUAUAUGUGUCUUGUUAGAUUAUCAAAGUCUCAGUCAUCAGAAAUAUCAUUGAGAAGGAAAAUCAAUUAAGGUUGGCACAGAAGAAGAAGAAGAAGAAGAAGGAAGAUGAUGAAAAGAUCUGUAUAUUACAUGGUUAAAAUAAGUGCUGACUCUCAAGGGUAUAUUGGUAAAGCCAAAUAGGACAAAUGAUUUAGUCCCUUGUUAUUAUAUAUGAAUACAAUUGUGAGCCUUAUUUUUCCUUCAUCGAUCCAAACAAAUAAGAAUAUAAUAGUAAUAAUAAGGAAGAGAAGAAAAAAGAAGAAGAAGAAGAAGAAGAAAAGUUCUUAAUAAUUUGGUUAUUCGGAAAAUAAAAGAAACUCAAGCUUCUUAAAAGUUAUCAUUAUUAUUAUUUUCACCAUUGUUUGUCGUUUUAAUGUAACUUCACUGAUCAUCAUUCAAACUGUUAUCCUGAACAAGGAGGAGUGAAAAGCAGAAUGAAAAAAAGGAUAAAAAUAGCUCUUAUAAAACAUCUGAUUAAACAUAAUUGUUUGGAUAUUGUAAAGUCGAGAUACUUCAUUGAUUAGUUUUCAUAGAGAAUCUCAAUUGAUUUAAAUUUCAAAUUGAACCAUUCACAGUUUUUCAAUUUAAUUUUCCAAGUUAAUACAUUUGCUCAUUUUUCAUUUGCAAAUUGAUCAAUAAAAAAGCCUCCAAACUCACUUUAAUCAUUUCCAUUUUUUUCAUUGACUUUCAUGUAAAAGAAAGUGAAAAUUUGCUAAAAUUUAGUUUCACUUGACUUUGCUCUUCAAUGUUUUACCAUUUAUGAUACAAAGAUUUUGAUAAUUUCUUGAAAUUGAAUCUCAUUUUGGGUUAUUUUUUGAUAUCUUUUUGGAAAUGAUUUUUGAUAUAAUUUUUGAUGGACAACAUUGUUAUCUAAUUUUAAGGUGAAGGUUGAAGAGGUUAGAUGUUGACAUGAGUUGAAAUGUUAUGAGAAAUUGAGUGAUUUACUUGAUUCUCUUGAGUCUCGAUUUUGUUUCACAUCUCAUUUAUUGAUCAAUGUUUUCCUAUCAAUCUUGAUUACAUUGAAAUUGAUUGAAAAAUCUGUUUACAUUCAAGUUUCAACUGU